AAUAUGCCUUGAAAGGAUAGGGUGCAGAACCCUAGUCAGGGUUCAGCCGAGCGAAGCGAGACAACGUUGCUUCGACGCAGUCGGAAAAGGCAACGGCCCGAAGGGCAAGGGAACGAAGUGACCGAGUAAAUCCCGCUUUCGCAUUUC
rnacentral:sRNA from 1 species